GCAGGAGCAGGGACCGAGCAACGGGAGCUCACCCUGUCACAGGGAUUCGAACUGCCGACCUUCUGAUCGGCAAGUUCUAGGCUCUGUGGUUUAACCAACAGCGUCACCUGCAUACCCUCCGACAUUUCUCCGAUGAAAAGAGGGACAUCUAUCUUGGCAGGUAGGGACAAGCACAUCAGCAGCACACACAGAUUGUUUUAAAACCUGCUCUUUUGUGCAAAAAAAGAGUACCUGUGUAAGUGUCCACGGCGGCUGUCUGGUUUCUAGAACUCAGGAUAUUGAGUGAAGGGCUCAUUGAGGGGAAGGAUAACAACGCAGUGCAAAUGCAGUGAUGAGGCAGUUUUUCGUGUGUCGGUGAAAUUUCUCAUGUGUGGGAGCAUAUGGGAAAUUGGAUUUGUGUGGCCCAUUAACACUCUGGUGUGUACAGUGGUACCUCGGGUUAAGUACUUAAUUCGUUCCGGAGGUCCGUUCUUAACCUGAAACUGUUCUUAACCUGAAGCACCACUUCAGCUAAUGGGGCCUCCUGCUGCCACUGUGCCGCUGGAGCACGAUUUCUGUUCUCAUCCUGAAGCAAAGUUCUUAACCUGAGGUAAUAUUUCUGGGUUAGCGGAGCCUGUAACCUGAAGCGUAUGUAACCCGAGGUACCACUGUACACAGUCUCUGUCUGUCGUCCCGGCUGUGGCGGUGUAGUUAACGAAUGCUAGACUCUGGGCUUAAUGGUCUUGGAGUGUGUGCUCUUUAUUUUUUGUAUGGUAUCUUUGUAAACUGCUUACAAACUAUUGUAGGUAAGUGGUAUAUACUGGUAAUUCGUUUGAAUCAAUAGAAGUAAAUGAAACAAAUCAGAGUCAGCUCUGUGAUGUCUUUUAAGUUGAAAAGAGUGUUGUUUUUUAGAAAGACAAGCUGUGAGUGACUUUUAUGUGAUGUUUGUCUAUAAAAAUGCUAUUUUCCUUGAUGAUGCAGAAUGAAUGAAUCAAUGGGAGAACUGUAAAAUAAAAUACAGAAUAUGGUGCCAAAGAAGGAUAGAACUUUUUUUAUGUAUGCUACAACAGCAGCAAGAAUACUCAUCGCGAAGUAUUGGAAGACACAAGAUUUACUCACUCGGGAAGAAUGGCAGAUGAAGUUGAUGGAAUUGGAGGAAAUG